rnacentral:rRNA from 1 species
UAGGGAAUAUUGCACAAUGGGCGGAAGCCUGAUGCAGCGACGCCGCGUGAGGGAUGACGGCCUUCGGGUUGUAAACCUCUUUCAGUAGGGACGAAGCGUAAGUGACGGUACCUGCAGAAGAAGCACCGGCUAACUACGUGCCAGCAGCCGCGGUAAUACGUAGGGUGCGAGCGUUGUCCGGAAUUACUGGGCGUAAAGAGCUCGUAGGCGGUUUGUCACGUCGUCUGUGAAAUCCUAGGGCUUAACCCUGGACGUGCAGGCGAUACGGGCUGACUUGAGUACUACAGGGGAGACUGGAAUUUCUGGUGUAGCGGUGGAAUGCACAGAUAUCAGGAAGAACACCGAUGGCGAAGGCAGGUCUCUGGGUAGUAACUGACGCUGAGGAGCGAAAGCAUGGGUAGCGAACAGG